rnacentral:rRNA from 1 species
CACGUAGGAGGCGAGCGUUGUCCGGAAUUAUUGGGCGUAAAGAGCUCGUAGGCGGUUUGUCGCGUCUGCUGUGAAAACCCGAGGCUCAACCUCGGGCCUGCAGUGGGUACGGGCAGACUAGAGUGCGGUAGGGGAGAUUGGAAUUCCUGGUGUAGCGGUGAAAUGCGCAGGAUAUCAUGGAGGAACACCGGUGGCGAAGGCGGUCUCUGGCCGGAUGACUGACGCUG